CCUCAUGAAAAAGUAGCUCAACAAAUUAAAGAGUCAUUAUCAUAAUAAAUGCUUAAGCAUAAAUUUUGUCAAUCCCAAUUAUCCUCCUACCCUACCCAACAAGAUUUGGACCACAAAGAUAUCUCUGAAGAGGUAUGAAAUCUAUAAUAAUUCCAAGUGCCAAACACAAAUACCAACUCAUGAACCACAAAUACCAAUAUUAUACAAAAAAUAUUAACUUAGAGACUAACCCAUUAUACUAACUUUAUACAAAAAAAUAUUAACAUUAGAGACUAACAUUAUACGAAAUAAUUCUAAGUGCCAAACACAAAUACAAACAUUAUACAAAAAAUAUUAACAUUAGAG
rnacentral:lncRNA from 1 species